UCGCCGUUUGACUUUCGUUGCUUCUUUCGAGUUGAUUCUUUUUGCAAACCGGAGUUCUUAAGUUGAACUUUCUGGUUGGAUCUUUCAUUCGAGUUUUACCUAUGCAUUAGAUGAGUAUUGAUUGUAUGCUUGUUUGUUUGCGAUAGAGUACCCGGAGUGUGCCGCUUGUUACUUCGAAUCGCUAGGUUUUGCGGAUCAUCAGCAAGGCAAGUAACACUUUGAUCAUACUCCGUUCAUACCCAGUUUUUAUUGCAUUAGAUCUAUUCCUCAAACACAUUGCAUGAUUAGGAUCUUAUAAACUGUGGGUAUUGGGAAGUAGUUGAGGUAGUACCUAUUACUUGUUUUCUAUUCAAACCCUUGGGAGUUACUUCUACGCUGCUAUUAUUAUUGCCAGGCUAUGCUCGUAGACGUGGAUUGGGUUUGAGAGAUAUUCAUGACAUAUGUGAGAUGUUUAUUAAUGGUUCAACUUAAGGUGGCAACUAAAACUCACAUCUGGGUGGAUUGAGGCACCUGGAGAACCCAGUGUUGUCUGAUUUUAUAAGGUCCGCCACCCAGGCUCAAAGGGAUCAUAAGAUUGUUCAUGCUAGAAACUUCCGUGUGCAGCCACAAGCUAUUAUGGGCUCUAGCAUAGCUGAGUAGGUUACAGGAUCUCUUGAAGAGGUGGACUAGCAGAUGUAGGGGAAAGUAGGUGUACAUGUCCAUCCAGAGUAAAGAGUGAUUGUUUCUGAAAGACUGUGUCUCGGUCAUCCGUUUCUCAAACAUCAUGCAGUGCGAGAAUCAAGCGGAGGCGAUCGAGUCUUGUGGGGAAAAGUGCACAAACCUCUGCAGAGUGUACAAACUGAUCAUGAUUAGCCGUGUCCCCGGUUAUGGACAACUUGAGUAUCUAGUACUUGGAUUAUCAUUUGAAUCUCAUCACCGUGAUACUUAUAAUUAAUUUUGCUGGGUUAAUGAUGACACUUAAUUGGGAUUGAGUUGGAGGUACCUUCUCAAUGUUUCAACCACCAUGAUAGUUAAAUAAAAUUUAUUCCUUUUGAAGUAGGAUAAAAUUGGAUUUUCGCAAAACUGUAACCAUAGAGCUUUCCACCAGCCAUAUAUGCAUGUAGUAUAGCAUUAUUAUUGUUCAUUGCUCUCUAUGUGUUACUUUGCCAGCAUAUUCUAUGUGCUGACCCGUUUUCGGGCUGCAACGUUUCAUGUUAAAGACUUUUCAGACGACGAGUAAGGUGCCUUAGGUCGUGGUCUUAUACUCAGUGAUGCCGCUGGAGUUGAUGGACUCACUUAUCUUCCAAGUCUUCCGCUGUUAUCGUUUAGAUGGCCUUAAGCCAUAUUUAUCAUACUUAAUCUCUUUGGAGAUAUUCGAUGUAAUAAGUGUGUGAUUG
rnacentral:lncRNA from 1 species